GAUGAACGCUGGCGGCGUGCCUAAUACAUGCAAGUCGAGCGAACGGACGAGAAGCUUGCUUCUCUGAUGUUAGCGGCGGACGGGUGAGUAACACGUGGAUAACCUACCUAUAAGACUGGGAUAACUUCGGGAAACCGUAGCUAAUACCGGAUAAUAUUUUGAACCGCAUGGUUCAAAAGUGAAAGACAGUCUUGCUGUCACUUAUAGAUGGAUCCGCGCUGCAUUAGCUAGUUGGUAAGGUAACGGCUUACCAAGGCAACGAUGCAUAGCCGACCUGAGAGGGUGAUCGGCCACACUGGAACUGAGACACGGUCCAGACUCCUACGGGAGGCAGCAGUAGGGAAUCUUCCGCAAUGGGCGAAAGCCUGACGGAGCAACUCCGCGUGAGUGAUGAAGGUCUUCGGAUCGUAAAACUCUGUUAUUAGGGAAGAACAUAUGUGUAAGUAACUGUGCACAUCUUGACGGUACCUAAUCAGAAAGCCACGGCUAACUACGUG
rnacentral:rRNA from 1 species